AGUCACUUUUCUUGUGACCUAGCCUUCCUCUUCUGUUCUAAGGGUUUCCAUUUGCUCUAGCCAGCAUGGCUUCUCUCUUGGAAUUACUCUAUUCUUUUUGGUAGAUAAAUAAUAUCUCUCAUUGUUUUUUUAUUUGGGAAAUGUAUGGGUUUAUUUCUUUUCCUAAAACAACAUUCCAGGAAGGCCAUCUGCAUUUCAAUGUUAAAUAUCUACUCUUACAAUGUUUCUCCUACUGUCAUCUCUACAUCUCCAAUCAUCUUCAGCAUCUCCAUUCAUCUAUAACGUCUAAUGUCAUCUUCAAAGUCACUCUAUAUGGGGAUAGGAUCCUUCUCCAGCAAUGAUUUUAGUCAGUGUUGGGUAAUCAAACUCCCUUGCAAGAUGAAUGAUGCAGGAUAAUGAACAUGGAAAGCGGGAAAGAUUCGUGGCAGCUUGGCAUAUGUGUUGAGGAUGAAUGGAUUGAAUGGACUACAUGAAGAUCAAGGAUGACGUUGUUUAAAGUCUUUUAAAUUAUGUUUUGAUGUAUUUUCGCAUUUAGUAUUUAAACAAUUAAAGUUUAUGUUUUAUGUUUUAUAAAUAAUGGGAUCCCAUACCAUAUCACAUUUUAUAUUUUUACCUUAUUUUGUAUUUGGUACAAUAUUUUGAGUUUCAAAUAAAGUUAUGUUAUUUCUUAUGUA